CGAGCACUGUUCUUCUUCUCCCAGCGAAUCCAAGCCCCAUUCCAGCCCAAAUCCAUGGCGAGUGAACCCAAUCUCCAACCACGCGUUCCCUCCCUCUCUCCUCUUGCCAGAUUCUAACCGUCUCUAACAAAAUCCCUCUCCCUCACAUGCUCUUUUCAAUUUCAUUUCGGAUUUUCACCUUUUGGAUGAUAUAUGGAAAAAUGGGGGGCGUUAGAUUGGGUUGGAGUUAAUCUAAUCCUUCCAUUUGUCCCUCUCUCAUCAGAAACGGGGUGAAAAUCUGUUUGGGGAGAAAAUUUUUCGUUUUGGGGAUUUCUUGGAGAUAAAGGCAGAAGGUUCGAGAAGCUUGGAGAUAUAUAAGGUGAGGUCAUUUCUUGGGUAAGAGGGAUUUUCAGGGAGAUUUUUUUUAGUUUUCAGAAAUUAGAGAGAAAAUUAAAAAAAAAAUUGAAAAGCUCGGGUUCGAAAAGGUGUUCUGUUUUUCUGAUUUUCAUCCUUCUCCUUUAGUUUCAAAUUCAUAGAUACAUAUGUAAGAAAAGAUGUUGAGUGUGCUGGAUUUUUAUUUUUUUUUAUUUGGUGUUGAUUGCUGUUUAAAAGAGUGAUAGUAUAUAGAUGUUCAGAUCUUCUCUUCGUCUGAGUUUUCUGGAAAAAAUGGAACUCGUUUGAAAGGCUGUUGAGUUCACUGCUGUUCGCGGGUUCGAGUUCGAUUCGCUGUUGUCUUCUCGUUCAAAUUUUAGACUUGAGUCUCGCUCAGUUAAGUUAUUGUAAUUGCUGAGAUCCGAUUAAUUGAAAACUCUCAUUGAGAUAUUGUUCAUUCCUUUGACCAAUGAAAUGAAGAAGCCAAGUAUUUGUUGGAAGUUGGAAAUACAUGAGCAUUAGUUUUCAGCAUAUGUUUUGUUUUCUACACUUCUGAAAAUCAUCCCAUUUCAGUUUUGAGAUCAUUUGCAGUGUUAAACGAAUCAUGUGCUCCAAAUUAUUAGUGAUUUGCGUGAAUCUUAAUGUUCAGAUUUGUAUAAAAGGACUCCAAAGGACUAUUAUAGUGUAACGUGGAUCAGAAUGCUUAAGCUUUUGGUUUUUUUUUUUUUUGCUUAUUAUCUGUUGAUAUCAACAUCAUUAGUAUGAGUUCCAUUUGAAGGGUGUAAUUCAGACUCU